rnacentral:misc_RNA from 1 species
AAAGAAUCAUUUAUAAAAAUAGAGUAGAGGAGAUAAAGAUAAAACCAAAGCAGGGAGGCUUAAAACCUGAGAAGAGCAAUUACCAAGAAGCCAAGGCAAGAAUUUGUUUAGUUGAUAAUAACACUCAAACAUAUGAAAUAUAGAUAAUUAAAAUAUAUCUUGCAGUGCACCAUCUAUAAUACCUUGAAAUUUAAUAUUAAUAAGUAAAAUUGUUUAGGAAAAGUAGGAGUGCCAUUUCUGAUAUCUAGUUUGAGAGUCUCACAAAAAAGUCAAUCAAAUCAGAUGAUGUGUACCUAUAUUCUUAUCACCAUAACUCCUCAGGAUAUAAAAUAUCAAUAAUCAUAAUCAUCAAAUAAAUGGGCAAAAUAUACUGAUCAUCUGGCGGUGCAAUUUUGGUCUCAAGAAUGAUCCAUGUUACAGGCUUACAGCCUUAAAAGGUGGACAAUUUGUCUUCAUCAAGGCAUCAAAUUGCAGAAGUUCAUAGGUUCCAAGGGUAGCCAACACAGGCCAAUUGGACUAACCAACUUUUAGCAUAGAUAACCCAUGUGUUUCGCUCUCAUAUGGAGCUCUUCCCUCAAGGAUAUCAAAUAAGGCACAGUAAUACAAAUUACUUGUGUUCUCUGUACACAAAUCUUACCUUAGUGAACUUGACAUCAGG